rnacentral:rRNA from 1 species
UACGUAGGGUGCAGGCGUAAUCGGAAUUACUGGGCGUAAAGCGUGCGCAGGCGGUCUUUUAAGUCAGAUGUGAAAUCCCCGGGCUUAACCUGGGAACUGCGUUUGAAACUGGAAGGCUUGAGUGUGGCAGAGGGGGGUGGAAUUCCUGGUGUAGCAGUGAAAUGCGCAGAUAUCGGGAGGAACACCAGUAGCGAAGGCGGCACUCUGGGCCGGUACUGACGCUGAGGAGCGAAAGCGUGGGGAGCAAACAGG